CCUACGGGUGGCUGCAGUGGGGAAUAUUGCACAAUGGGCGCAAGCCUGAUGCAGCCAUGCCGCGUGUGUGAAGAAGGCCUUCGGGUUGUAAAGCACUUUCAGCGGGGAGGAAGGCGGUAAGGUUAAUAACCUCAUCGAUUGACGUUACCCGCAGAAGAAGCACCGGCUAACUCCGUGUCAGCAGCCGCGGUAAUACGGAGGGUGCAAGCGUUAAUCGGAAUUACUGGGCGUAAAGCGCACGCAGGCGGUCUGUCAAGUCGGAUGUGAAAUCCCCGGGCUCAACCUGGGAACUGCAUUCGAAACUGGCAGGCUAGAGUCUUGUAGAGGGGGGUAGAAUUCCAGGUGUAGCGGUGAAAUGCGUAGAGAUCUGGAGGAAUACCGGUGGCGAAGGCGGCCCCCUGGACAAAGACUGACGCUCAGGUGCGAAAGCGUGGGGAGCAAACAGGAUUAGAUACCCGUGUAGUC
rnacentral:rRNA from 1 species